rnacentral:lncRNA from 1 species
GAGCACAGAGCCGUGGUGCAUCUCACAGCCAAGCGUUCUCAACUACAUGAAACUGGGGAGCUGAAACGUGCACGGCAGCACACGUGCACACCGGGUCACAGGGACUGGCUGUGUCUAGACACUGCCAAGCGUCCCCAGACAACAUGCCUGGCUGAGGGCAUUGCUCUAGGAAGCUGCCGGGCUGGGGUGGGCCUGACGAUCCAUCUCUGGAUCGUGGGUAGAGGUGUAUGAGCCCCGGGGGCAGCAAGGGCUGAGAAGGGCCAAGGAGCUGGCGGGAUGCGCGGUGAGAACAGGACCACUGUGGGCCAUGCACUCCAGGCCGGGUGAAGAGGGAGCGAGGGCCUGUGGCAGGGCAAGGGCUGGGAGCCGAGCACGCGAAUGGUGGAAAGUGCCAGGGGCCGGCGUGUGGAAAUGGCGAGGCCAUUGCACUGGAGGGGUUCCCAUGAGUCUCUUUCAUUUCAAAGAAGCAUUUGUGCACCAAAGUACCCAGAGAAAUGCACAAACCCUAAAAAACAACAUGAAACAGGACGCGCAGAGGGGAGCCAGACGCACCCAGGCAGGAGACAGCAUUUUCAAGCAGCUGAGCAUCCGACCGCGGCCAACAACCCAGGGGGCAGACCUGCUGUGGAGAGACGAGGAAGACCAAACACAGACUCAGGCAUAUGCGGAGACUGUGUGGGGAGCAGAGGGGGUUUCCCAAGGCAGUGGGGUAAGCAGGGACCUUUUUUUUAGACGGGGU